rnacentral:misc_RNA from 1 species
GGCGGAUAUUGCUACACCGGUAUCCAUGGAAUUGAAGAAUUUCACCACAGGGGAAAUGUCUGGGAAUUCGGAUUCAGUGGAGAAGAGAGAGGAGACUCCUCGCCCGAAGCUAAAGCCCCUGCAUUGGGAUAAGGUGCGGGCGAGCUCUGACCGAGCAACGGUGUGGGAUCAGUUGAAGUCGAGCUCGUUCCAGGUGAAUGAAGAGAUGAUUGAGUCGUUGUUCGUCUGCAACCCAUCGAAUGCAAUGCCGAAGGAAUCAGACAAGCGGCA